GAACAAAAUAUUCUCUUCGAGCUGCUGAAUUGUCUCAAACUGCCGACCAUUCUUAUAAAUUGUGCCCUUUUUUGCAAUACAUUCAAAAGUAGAAUUUCCAGCACACUCAGAUUGACGUUUAGUAGCUAGCAAAAUACAUUAAGAGUUACGUCUUCUUCUUCUUCAUUUUUGAUAUAGUUCAGUAUAUGCAUACGAGACGCAAAAAUGCUGCGAAUUUACAUUUCGAUAAUUAUUUAAAUAUGCGCAAAGUUUAUGUGUUGUGGAAGGAGCGUUGGGAGCUGUGUAGGAUUUUAUUUGCCCAAACGUAAAUCAAUGAAGGGAAAUUAUUACUGCGUUUAUUUUAAUUUUUUAAUUUUUAAGUAAUAAAACUCCCUCGAGUGGUG